UGGCGGACGGGUGAGUAACGCGUGGGUAACCUGCCUCACACAGGGGGAUAACAGUUGGAAACGACCGCUAAUACCGCAUAACCCGCUGGUAUCGCAUGAUACUGACGGAAAAGAUUUAUCGGUGUGAGAUGGACCCGCGUCUGAUUAGCCAGUUGGCAGGGUAACGGCCUACCAAAGCGACGAUCAGUAGCCGGCCUGAGAGGGCGAACGGCCACAUUGGGACUGAGACACGGCCCAAACUCCUACGGAAGGCAGCAG
rnacentral:rRNA from 1 species